rnacentral:rRNA from 1 species
AGAGUUUGAUCCUGGCUCAGAUUGAACGCUGGCGGCAGGCCUAACACAUGCAAGUCGAACGGUAACAGGAAACAGCUUGCUGUUUCGCUGACGAGUGGCGGACGGGUGAGUAAUGUCUGGGAAACUGCCUGAUGGAGGGGGAUAACUACUGGAAACGGUAGCUAAUACCGCAUAACGUCGCAAGACCAAAGAGGGGGACCCUCGGGCCUCUUGCCAUCGGAUGUGCCCAGAUGGGAUUAGCUUGUUGGUGGGGUAACGGCUCACCAAGGCGACGAUCCCUAGCUGGUCUGAGAGGAUGACCAGCCACACUGGAACUGAGACACGGUCCAGACUCCUACGGGAGGCAGCAGUGGGGAAUAUUGCACAAUGGGCGCAAGCCUGAUGCAGCCAUGCCGCGUGUAUGAAGAAGGCCUUCGGGUUGUAAAGUACUUUCAGCGGGGAGGAAGGGAGUAAAGUUAAUACCUUUGCUCAUUGACGUUACCCGCAGAAGAAGCACCGGCUAACUCCGUGCCAGCAGCCGCGGUAAUACGGAGGGUGCAAGCGUUAAUCGGAAUUACUGGGCGUAAAGCGCACGCAGGCGGUUUGUUAAGUCAGAUGUGAAAUCCCCGGGCUCAACCUGGGAACUGCAUCUGAUACUGGCAAGCUUGAGUCUCGUAGAGGGGGGUAGAAUUCCAGGUGUAGCGGUGAAAUGCGUAGAGAUCUGGAGGAAUACCGGUGGCGAAAGCGGCCCCCUGGACGAAGACUGACGCUCAGUGCGAAAGCGUGGGGGAGCAAACAGGAUUAGAUACCCUGGUAGU